UACGUAGGGUGCGAGCGUUGUCCGGAAUUAUUGGGCGUAAAGAGCUCGUAGGCGGUGUGUCACGUCGUUCGUGAAAACCUGCAGCUUAACUGUGGGCGUGCGGUCGAUACGGGCAUCACUGGAGUUCGGCAGGGGAGACUGGAAUUCCUGGUGUAGCGGUGAAAUGCGCAGAUAUCUGGAGGAACACCGGUGGCGAAGGCGGCAUCCUGGACCGGCAUUGACGCUGAGGCGCGAAAACCAGGGGAGCAAACGGG
rnacentral:rRNA from 1 species